GAUGAAGAACGUAGCGAAAUGCGAUACGUAAUGUGAAUUGCAGAAUUCAGUGAAUCAUCGAGUCUUUGAACGCACAUUGCGCCCCCUGGUAUUCCGGGGGGCAUGCCUGUCCGAGCGUCAUUGCUGCCCUCAAGCACGGCUUGUGUGUUGGGCCUCCGUCCUCCUCCCGGGGGACGGGCCCGAAAGGCAGCGGCGGCACCGCGUCCGGUCCUCGAGCGUAUGGGGCUUUGUCACCCGCUCUGUAGGCCCGGCCGGCGCUUGCCGAUCAACCCAAAUUUUUAUCCAGGUUGACCUCGGAUCAGGUAGGGAUACCCGCUGAACUUAAGCAUAUCAAUAAGCGGAGGA
rnacentral:misc_RNA from 1 species